rnacentral:tRNA from 1 species
UGCAGUAGGCGGGAUGGUGUAAUGGAUAAUACAUCAGUCCGGUGAGCUGAAGAUGCUGUUUCGCAUCCAGCCGCCAU